UACGGAGGGUGCAAGCGUUAUCCGGAUUCACUGGGUUUAAAGGGUGCGUAGGUGGGCAGGUAAGUCAGUGGUGAAAUCUCCGGGCUUAACCCGGAAACUGCCGUUGAUACUAUCUGUCUUGAAUAUCCUGGAGGUGAACGGAAUAUGUCAUGUAGCGGUGAAAUGCUUAGAUAUGACAUAGAACACCAAUUGCGAAGGCAGUUCACUACGGGAUUAUUGACACUGAGGCACGAAAGCGUGGGGAUCAAACAGG
rnacentral:rRNA from 1 species